rnacentral:rRNA from 1 species
GGUUAAGCGACUAAGCGUACACGGUGGAUGCCCUGGCAGUCAGAGGCGAUGAAGGACGUGCUAAUCUGCGAAAAGCGUCGGUAAGGUGAUAUGAACCGUUAUAACCGGCGAUGUCCGAAUGGGGAAACCCAGUGCAAUUCGUUGCACUAUCGUUAACUGAAUACAUAGGUUAACGAGGCGAACCGGGGGAACUGAAACAUCUAAGUACCCCGAGGAAAAGAAAUCAACCGAGAUUCCCCCAGUAGCGGCGAGCGAACGGGGAGCAGCCCAGAGUCUGAAUCAGCUUGUGUGUUAGUGGAACGGUCUGGAAAGUCCGACGGUACAGGGUGAUAGUCCCGUACACCAAAAUGCACAGGUUGUGAACUCGAAGAGUAGGGCGGGACACGUGGUAUCCUGUCUGAAUAUGGGGGGACCAUCCUCCAAGGCUAAAUACUCCUGACUGACCGAUAGUGAACCAGUACCGUGAGGGAAAGGCGAAAAGAACCCCGGCGAGGGGAGUGAAAAAGAACCUGAAACCGUGUACGUACAAGCAGUGGGAGCACCUUCGGGUGUGACUGCGUACCUUUUGUAUAAUGGGUCAGCGACUUAUAUUCUGUAGCAAGGUUAACCGUAUAGGGGAGCCGCAGGGAAACCGAGUCUUAACUGGGCGUUAAGUUGCAGGGUAUAGACCCGAAACCCGGUGAUCUAGCCAUGGGCAGGUUGAAGGUUGGGUAACACUAACUGGAGGACCGAACCGACUAAUGUUGAAAAAUUAGCGGAUGACUUGUGGCUGGGGGUGAAAGGCCAAUCAAACCGGGAGAUAGCUGGUUCUCCCCGAAAGCUAUUUAGGUAGCGCCUCGUGAAUUCAUCUUCGGGGGUAGAGCACUGUUUCGGCUAGGGGGUCAUCCCGACUUACCAACCCGAUGCAAACUACGAAUACCGAAGAAUGUUAUCACGGGAGACACACGGCGGGUGCUAACGUCCGUCGUGAAGAGGGAAACAACCCAGACCGCCAGCUAAGGUCCCAAAGUCAUGGUUAAGUGGGAAACGAU